rnacentral:rRNA from 1 species
UGGGGAAUUUUGGACAAUGGGCGAAAGCCUGAUCCAGCAAUGCCGCGUGUGUGAAGAAGGCCUUCGGGUUGUAAAGCACUUUUGUCCGGAAAGAAAUCCUUGGCUCUAAUACAGUCGGGGGAUGACGGUACCGGAAGAACAAGCACCGGCUAACUACGUGCCAGCAGCCGCGGUAAUACGUAGGGUGCAAGCGUUAAUCGGAAUUACUGGGCGUAAAGCGUGCGCAGGCGGUCUGCUAAGACCGAUGUGAAAUCCCCGGGCUCAACCUGGGAACUGCAUUGGUGACUGGCAGGCUAGAGUAUGGCAGAGGGGGGUAGAAUUCCACGUGUAGCAGUGAAAUGCGUAGAGAUGUGGAGGAAUACCGAUGGCGAAGGCAGCCCCCUGGGGCC